rnacentral:rRNA from 1 species
GACGAACGCUGGCGGCGUGCUUAACACAUGCAAGUCGAACGGAAAGGCCCUGCUUUUGUGGGGUGCUCGAGUGGCGAACGGGUGAGUAACACGUGAGUAACCUGCCCUUGACUUUGGGAUAACUUCAGGAAACUGGGGCUAAUACCGGAUAGGAGCUCCUGCUGCAUGGUGGGGGUUGGAAAGUUUCGGCGGUUGGGGAGGGACUCGCGGCUUAUCAGCUUGUUGGUGGGGUAGUGGCUUACCAAGGCUUUGACGGGUAGCCGGCAUGAGAGGGUGACCGGCCACGCUUGGGAUGAGACACGGCGCAGACUCCUACGGGAGGCAGCGGUGGGGAAUCUUAGGCACGGGGGGCAACCAUGAGCUAGCCACGUCGGGGGAGUGAUGAAGGCCGUAGGGUUGUAAAGCUCUCUCAGAUGGGAAGAUAAUGCCGGUACCAGCAGAAGAAGCCCCGGCUAACUCCGUG